rnacentral:lncRNA from 1 species
GGCUUGCAGUUAGCAAUGGAGAGCUGCUUAGGAACCAAAGGGACUUCUAACUAGUGAACAAGAAGCUGCCCAACCUUGAACCUAGUAACUUGCAACAUGUAAGCAACUUCAGUAGCUGGAACCUCUUCCAUGAAGACUUACUCUAGAAAGCCUUGAGCUGGAGGCCUGACAAAGUAUAUGAUUAAUCAAGAAAGUACCAAACACCCAGGACUGAACCUGCCGACCUUUUUCAUAAAAAUUAAAAGGUCAUCUGCAAAAGACAAGUGAGUAAGAUUCACUCUUUUACACUUUGGAUGAAAAUUGAUAAUUCAAUGGGUGACAGCAAUAUCCAAAAGUCUAGAAAGCACUUCUAUGGCUAUAACAAAGAGAAAAGAAGAGAGGGGAUCCCCUUGUCUAAGCCUAUUUGCCCCUUUUAAAUACCCUAUUAGGCCACCAUUGAGGGAGAUGGAAAAUUGUGAAGAAGUGAUGCAUGCUUAAAUCCAACCCUUAAAGACAUUCAGAACAUCCAUAGCCCUGAAAAUAAUAAUAAUAAACCUCAAAUUGACAAAAUUAAACGCCUUCUGUAAGUCAAUUUUUCGGGCACAUUCUAGGGGAAAUAUGCUUCCUACCACACCCCCUCAUGAGUUCAUGGGCCAAGAGAGAAUUAUCCAUAAUAUUUCUACCUUUAAUAAACGCAGAUUGACUAGAAGAGAUCAAAUCUAACAAAAAAAAGAUAUUCGAUUAGUCAAAAUCUUUGAAAUACACUUGUAUAUUAUAUUGCAACAAGAAAUUGGUCUGAAUUACUUGAUGUGAGUGGCUUGUGCACACUUGGGCACCAAGACAUUAGCAGUGGCAUUGAAAGCAGAUAGUAGCUUUGAAGUGAGAGAAAAAUGGUCCACUACUGUCAGAACAUCUGGGCCUACAAUACUCCAAGUUAUUUUGAAGAACAAAACUGAAAAACCAUCAGACCCUGGUGCCUUGUCAUUUCUUUGACUAAACAUAACUCUUUUGGUUUCAUCAUCUGAAAAUGGUUGAAUUAAGUCUUACUGUACAUGAAUAGGAAGAGUUUUAGAAAUUAGCUAUGAAAAAAGUAUAUUAGAGUUAUGAGCUACAUUAGGAUCCUUAGAACCAAUCAAUUGCUAAAAAAAACCUACAAAUUCAGAAGAUGAUUGAUCAAAAGAGUGCACUUGGUUACCAUCAUCAUCCAACAAUGGUCGAAUGGUAAAUUUGGUUUACCUAACAUUACCUGCACUAUGAAAAAAUUUAGUGCUCUAGUCACCUUCAAGCAGCCAUUGAACCCUUGCUUUCUGCCUAUAAAAACUGGUUUCAGCUUUCUCUAGGGCCUGUAGAUCAGCAACAAUAAGCAUAAUCUAUUGCAAGACUCGUUCAUUACCCCCAAAAGAGAGACUGAGAAGUUACAGAUCCUCGAACUCCUUUCGUUUUUGCUACACUUGUUUUAAGAGGUCACCAAAGUACUCUUGGUUAAAAUCCCUCAAUCUUCCCUUUAGCCUCUUAAGUUUUAGAAAAAGCUUACUCAUAGGAUCUCCUAAACAUUGAUUGCCCAUACGAAUCGACAACUACUAUCAAGAAGUCUUUAUGUUUCACCCAAAAAUUAAAAAACUUAAAAGGCUUGGGAGAAGGAAACCCUGGUUUAUCUAACACACCACAUAAGGGCAAUGAUCAAACACCCCUAGAGCAAAAAACUCAACAUGAGAAUGAGAAAAAUCCAACAACCAGAAUGAGUUAACAAGAACCUUAUCCAACUUUUUGGCAAUGAAAUUACUUUUCUAGAGAUUAGACCAUGUGAAAGUGGGAUCUACUGCUCAAAGAUGAGUAACUUCAAGCAAGCUAACACAGUCCCUAAAUUCUUCCAUAUUAGAAGUGUAACUUUGUGUACCAUCAAACCUAGAAUACUCUUUAGGAAGAAGAGUGACAUUAAAGUCACCCUAAUAAACCAAACAACAUCACCAACAAUGUUGCUAUCCUCAAAUAAAUGUGCCCAAAUAUGCCUCAUCUCAGAACCUCUAUUUAAAGCAUAGAUGGCAGUAAGAAAGAGAGAUUUCCUACAGAGCUCCACCCUACUGGUUAUGCAUCAGUCAGUAACCUUUAAAACAUUUAAACUAAUACCUUGCAUAGCGAACAUCCAAAUCCUCUCAUUACUGGCUUCUCUAUAGUUACAAGUAAUGGACUAGGAUGCAAAGUACUUUUGAAUUAUCUCAACAGAUUUAUCUUAUGUAACCCUAGUUUCCAGAAGACAAAGAAUAUCAACACUAAGUUUAUUUACUCUAUCAAGAACUUUCUUAGGCUUAUUGGGAUUGUUUAACCCCCAGACAUUCUAAAAGACAAGAGUCAUUGAACAAGGGAUGAAGAAUUACCAUUUCUGACUACUGAAUCUACCAUAAGUUUUUUAUCCUUCACAAUCUCUUUCUUUUUAGACUUUAAGGAUUUCACCAAAGCCCCUAACCCUUUAGCAGACUCUCGGUGAGGCCUCAAAUACCCUUAUGUAUCCAUUUGAGUAGCAGUAGCCACAUGACUAUUCAAACUUGCCAUAGAACCAAGAUCUACAACCAUAAGAUUAAAACCAUCAACCAUAGACCCAGACACAACAAAAUCAUCAACAAUUACAUCAGAUACCUUAGGCUCAAGAUUCUUUAAACUAGGCUCCCACUUUCGCAAAAUUAAGGGUUUGUUCUUUAUGUGCCAGGGUCCAUUCCCCAGGACCUAAUCAUAAGCAUUAACAGAAGAAAACUGAAAGAUGAAAAGACUAUCCCCAUCCAAUUGAGCAGAAACCUCACCUCGGUUACCCUAGAGAAUAGCAUCAACCCGUUGCGUCAACCUAAAAUUCGGGGCCUUUCCAAUGAUCUGAGCAACAAUAGAGUGUUGCCAACGUCGAGCUCCUUCUUCAAAGACCUCAUCCAGUGGCUUCACAGUGAUCUCACCCUCAUAGACCGAAUGAAGGAAAUAAUCAAGUGAUUGAUGACCCACUGAAUCAAACAACCAUCUCCAAUCCAACGACGCAAUACUCUGUAACCCAACUCAACCAUUCUUGCACCAUAGUGGAAACACAAAUCCAACAAAAUCCAAUCAAAAAUUAAGAAGAAAACACAACAAAUCACGGAAGGAAACAAGCAAAGACUGAAAUAAGAAAUGCUAGGGAAAGUUUUCGGUUCAAGAAAGUUUUUGAUUAUUCUUAUUUUUACUAAUCUUAAUUUUACAAUUAAUAUAAAAU